UGCUCGAAAGAGCAGCUAAUACCGCAUACGACCUGAGGGUGAAAGCGGGGGAUCGCAAGACCUCGCGCAAUUGGAGCGGCCGAUAUCAGAUUAGCUAGUUGGCGGGGUAAAAGCCCACCAAGGCGACGAUCUGUAGCUGGUCUGAGAGGACGACCAGCCACACUGGGACUGAGACACGGCCCAGACUCCUACGGGAGGCAGCAGUGGGGAAUUUUGGACAAUGGACGCAAGUCUGAUCCAGCCAUGCCGCGUGCGGGAAGAAGGCCUUCGGGUUGUAAACCGCUUUUGUCAGGGAAGAAACGGCUUUCUCUA
rnacentral:rRNA from 1 species